rnacentral:rRNA from 1 species
GACGAACGCUGGCGGCGUGCUUAACACAUGCAAGUCGAACGGUGAAGCCCUUCGUGGUUGCUCAGUGGCGAUCGGGUACGUAACACUUGCGCAUCCUGCACCUGCCUCUGAGACAACCACUGGUAACGGUAGCUAUUACUAGUUACGCCUAGCCUCGGCUUCCACUUUGUGUGGACAGUAUAUCGGCUGGGGCUGGGCUAGCGGCCUAACAGCCUGUAGGUGAGGUGGUUGCUCAGCAAGGCGACGACGGGUAGCCGGCCUGAGAGGGCGACAGGCCACACUGGGACAGAGACACGGCCCGGACGCCUACGGGAGGCAGCAGUGGGAAAUAUUGCAAGAUGGGCGAAAGCCUGAUGCAGCGACGCCGCGUGGGGGAUGACGGCCGUCGGGUUGUAACCCUCGUUCAGCUGCGAAGAAGCGACAGUGACGGUAGGAGAAGAAGAAGCACCGGCUAACUACGUG